AACCACUGCAUGUUAAAGGAAUGAGGAUAGUAGGCCAGGAUAGCUAGCCGUGGAGCUACAAACUAACUGCAGCUGGAGCACCAGGUGAAUCUAAUUAACAGAACCUAGCUAGCAUGUGCGCAGGAGGACGACAACUACAGGGGGAGAACGCGCCCACGUGACAGGGGAAGCAGCAGCCAGCACACCGCCGCUGUUCGUUUGAUAGCUUCCACGGCACCGGACGGAGGAGAAGAAGAAGAAACCGGGGCAGAGAGAGAGAGAGAGACACCGAGAGGGAGACACAGAGAAAAAGAGACGCUCGUCGAGGGAAGACUUGAUAGAAGACAGAACCUCCGUUUGUAACAUAAGAACUCCGCAGACUCCUCCACCCGACACGGUUGGCACGCACUCACACCAUGGACGGUUAUGCCCGGACCGAAGAUGAGCUGUUCUCCUCCUGCCUCCUGAACCUCACCUGGGAGAAUUGCUACGAACAGACGUGCUCCUACACCGCCCCGGAGCCUGCCGCACGCGCCCAGAUGGACCCCUGCCAGGAGAAAAACAAACCACACCAUGCUUCUAGCCCCCCCCCACACCUUCUCCCAAUUACUGACCUUCAUCAUUUCCUCUCGCCUUGGAUGCUAUCAUUGGCAUUAUCAGUGUAUUUACUUUGUUUGUUUAGCUAGUUACUUGGCGCACUGCAGCAUUCUUGGCCAGAUUUUAAGGCAGACUGAGCAUGUGUGAGAGGUGUAUUAAUUUCUGGGAAUACUUACAGCAGUAGAUAAGAUGAAUGUGUGUUGUCAGGUAAAUGUAUUGCGUGUCAUAAAGUGUCUGUGGGUCACCAACUGAGGCAGAGGAGGGGCAGUUUUUAUCCUGGAAUAUUACACUGUCUCUUUUGGAAAUGUCCUUAUUCCAUGAUUAAAUAGAUUUUGGCCUUGAGUUGUGCUGGCCAAGCAAUUUCAGUCACCUUUUUUUUUUUCUCUCAACACUGAGUGCUCUUUUCCAUCUCACUUUGCCUUUGAGACACACAUGUGCAUCAGGUCUCUGAAAAGGUCCCAGCGCCUGCCUCCAAACACUGUCAUAUAGCAAUGGCCUGCCUCCUUAAGACCUUGGCCUUUUUUUUUUUUUCUUAAGGACAUCCUGAUAGCACAUCCAGGGUCCAUCUCAAUGAUUUAUGUACUACAUCUCACAUGCAGACCACCUACUGUACUGUCACUGUUUGACCUGUGCUAAAAUGUUCUCAGGAUGACUCCAAGUUUGAUUGCAGCAGUACUAAAGAAAAAGUUUAAAUAUAAAAUUUCUGUCAUUGGUGACUGUUUUUCUUAAUUUUUAAUGCUAACUGAGAGUUCAGAAUUUAGACAUGAAGAAGUUUGUUGCUUAGCCUAGAGUUGUUGGCAGAAAAGUGAUAUAACCUUUCUAGUCUGGCGGGAGCUUGAUAAUCCAUAACUCUGACUUUUUGGUCUUGGUCUCUCUCCAGUUCAUUUUUUUUUUUUUUUUAAAUCUCAAAAAGUGAAUCCAGACAAACUUCUCUUAUAACUUAAGUUUUGCAUGACUGUUUAUGACAUUGCUGUAAGUGGCUUUAGGGAUUUUUUUUUUU